ACAGAGCUGGCGGAUCCUAUCCUAGGUUUUAUGCUUGCUAAAUUAAACAUGGCAUCCGGGCCCGUGGAUGUAAACAUAAACAGAAGUCGUAAAAGAAAUAGAUUAUUAAAGGAACGAUCCAUCCGUGUUUCUCGUGUGUUAUUCCAGGACUGUUGCUAUAUUUUCUAGCAGGCUUAUCGCGUGCAGCACUGCUUGCUGAGGCAGCUAAGGAAUUUAUAUUCACGUUCAGGUAAACACUGGCGAAGUCCAUUGAACCACAGAAAAGUUAAUCAUUGGUACCAUUUGACGAUUUGUGUAAUUCGAAGACCUUCCCGUGAAUAUACUAGUGGCCAACAUUAUUGAUCGGAGCAACAUAACGACGGUACAGAUUCGCAAGGAUGAAAAUAAAACUGAUUACGAUACGAUGAACAAUGUGAUGAAUAAUUUCAUGAAUAACGUGAAAAUGAUGGAACUGAGCUGGAGGAAUAUGUGAAAAUGGGUAUGCUCCACACAUUUCACUAGCCAAUUUAGUGACACGCCCGACUAGAAGCGAUGAAGUUCAAGGUAAACAGCUGGUUUAGCGGUUGCUGCUAUAUUGCCUGGGAGCGCCAGUUUGUGAACUAUUGUACAUUACAUGCCCAUUACGGAUGUGAUCGAUACAAACAAUAUCUCUACUCCGGCCAAUGGUGUGCUAGUUAGACCGAUUUGCAAUCAGCGUAAUGGGGUUUUUCAUUGAAAAACACUUGGCAGUGUAUUGCACUGCUGUUGUAUUUUCGAGAAUAAGAGCAGGCCACCAGACAAGUUUCAUUCUCAUUUAUGCUAGAAAGUGCAAAACCAAUGCAAUCCACUACCCCGGUGAUUUCAAUGAAAAACGACAUAAGUCAGUGGAGUUUGUGAUCCAAGAAAAACCAGCUGAAGUUAUAUGCAUAUACAGUAUAUGUUGUAAGAGUACCGGUCGUUACUCCAAAACAUAUGCAUUGUGUGAUGAACGAAUAGAGCCUUGCCUUAUCCUGUUAAUAUGCAUUCUACAAAUUAUCGAUGGUGAUGUGGGUGAAAAGCUUGUCGACGUGAAGCAACAAUUCCGUCGUAUGAUAAAUUAAUUCACUAUGCGCUAUAGUUAUGGAAGUAAGUUAAAGACGGGACGUUUCUACCACCAAACUGAAUGUAGAGGACACGAAAGAGGACACUUUGGGAAUUUGUGACCUGCGUAGUUUGGCCUCAAAAGAGCACGGCAUAAUCAUAUUUCAUUCCGAUACAAACAAUAAUGUAGGAGCAUUUCAGGAAACUACGGUGGUCCGACUGGUACCGGCAGAAAGUAUCUGAAUGUUCAAUGAUCAAUAACGAUUUGGUUUUCUACGGCCAUUCAAUAGUAUGCACACAAUGGUUCAGAAUCGGUAUCAACUAGUGCAUCUUGAACAUCAUAUACUUGGCUUUACCACUAGGAGCAUCUGGAUUGCUUAAUAAUGGACAUCCAGUGAACGAGUUACGGACGUAAACGUGCAACCAUAUAGUCCUGCGUUUUGAGACCUAUGUUAAAAGGAAAAAUGGAUGUUGUAAAACAAGAGAAUU